ACAGGACAAGCAGCUUCAAGUUCCUGUGGCCAUAUUGGCCCAGUGAGACAGGGCAAGCAGCUUCAAGAUCCUGAGGCCCUCCUGGUCAGAUGAGACAGGACAUGCAGGUUGAAGCUCCUGAGGUCGUCCAGGCCAGGUAUGACAGGACAAGUAGAUUCAAGCUCUUGAGGCCCUCCUGGCCCAGUGAGACAGGACAAGCAGGUUCAAGCUCCUGAGGCCCUCCUGGCCCAGUGGGACAGGACAAGCAGGUUCAAGCUCCUGAGGUCUUCCUGGCCCAGUGAGACAGGACAAGCAGCUUCAAGAUCCUGAGGCCCUCCUGGUCAGAUGAGACAGGACAUGCAGGUUGAAGCUCCUGAGGUCGUCCAGGCCAGGUAUGACAGGACAAGUAGAUUCAAGCUCUUGAGGCCCUCCUGGCCCAGUGAGACAGG
rnacentral:lncRNA from 1 species